UUCUUUGCUGGAAGAAAAGGAGAAAAAGGAAAGAAAAUAGAGAAAACCAUGAGAGAGAGAGAGAGAGAGAGAGAGAGAGAGAUGAAGCAUAUACCAUUUUUGCUGGGAGGAGUUUGAUGGAAAGCACAAGGAAAAAGCUAAGGAAAGAAAAAGAAGACGAAAUGGAAAAGUGAAGAACUCAACCAAAUUCUAUCUUGAAGACUAAUAGAUUGCAGACGAUAUUCCUCAUGAUGAUGCCCCCCUUGAGGCUACACCUGCACUUUCACUCCUACUGAGGUCGAGCAGCCAGCAAUUACUGAGGCCAGCGGGACAGCAGAUAUAUAGAUGCCGAUUUCGAGACAGAGUUUGCUCCAAGGCUCGAGCCUGGGCCACUACCAUUGCGGGUGCAGCCCUUUGAUCCGGUCACUUAUCACCCUCGCACACACAUAAUGGUGCCUCGGGGUUUGACGCGCUUUGAUGAUUUUACUAAUAGUGCGCCGGAGGAUAUCUUGCUGAGAGAACUGGACUCCCACCUUUCUUACAGUGCUACCAAGGGGGACUCCUGUUCUUGCAGGGGUUACAGGGCAGUGAUAGCGAGCGAUUGGUAUCAUGAGCUCUCACCCAAGGUCCGUGACCCUGUUGAUGAGGCUGACUUUGGCUUAUUCUGCACCGAGCUCUCGUGACAUAUGGCUAGCCGAGCCCUCCUUGGAGCAUUGGUGGAGAGAUGGUGGGACACCACUAACUCCGUCCACUUCUCUUCCGCCGAGGAGAUAAUGAUGACCCCUUACGACUUCGCGAUGAUCACAGGCCUCAGAGUAGGAGGGAAUCCAAUUCCUUUUGACAUGGAAAUGGACGAGUGGGAGGCAGCUUGGAUCUACCUGCUUGGAGUACGUUCACCUCUAUACAGGCUAACUAUGGUGAGAUACAGUUGGUUCUCUUAGCACUUCUGCGGGAGUCAUCCUGAGACACAGGAGAAACUAGAGAAGUACAUCCGGGGCUUCUUGAUGUACCUCUUCGGUACCACCUUGUUCAUGAACAGGUGGAACACCGUCGGUUUGUAUUUACUGAGCGCCCUUGUGACUUUGUCUCGAGUUCGAUUUUACGACUGGGGUGGAGUCGGCCUCGUUACGCUUUACGGCUAUAUGAGCUCCAUUUCCCGCAUGAAGGGAGAAUGAGUCGGAGGCUACUGGAGGGCUUGAGAGAUAUGUACUGCACCUUCAAUUUUGUUACUAUGCUUUCUUCUCUGCAUUUUCUGUUCAAUAUCUGUACAUACAUCGCGUUUUCUACUUUGCACAUUUUAUCUAUCUGUUCAUGCAUUGCAUUGUGUUUUUUGCUUUAUACUUUAUGUCUAUUUGUUCAUGCAUUGUUGAUAACACUACUGACCCUUUCUUGCAGUUGUGGGUGUAUGCUUAUUUCCUAACUUUUGCUCUCGAGCCAGUGGAUGAGAUUCCUUCAGUCGUGUCUUACUUGCGGCGAUAUGACAGCUGGCACCAGCACCGGAGCCACGACGAUAUGACAUUCGCCUUUUACUGCCGAUACUUUGAUACAAUGGUUGCCAACGAGAUCACAUGGCAGCCCUGAGCGACGAUGCCAGCUAGAGUGAGGGACCAGUAUGCCGGAACCUGGGCCACAUCUCGAUACCGGAUCUUACUAGAGGGCUCACUCUGCCUGGCCUAGUUCUUGGGUGAGCAUUUUAUAUGCCAGACUCUGGGCUCACCUGUCUUAGUCGUUCCUAUGCCACCCUUAGCGUCCAUAAGGAUAACUGAUAACCACGCAGCUAAGCCUAUUAUCCAGUAUAUGGUGGGGCAGCAUGCCGACUAUUUCAGAGCGGGGGGUGAUUAUGCGACUUUCAUCAAGACUCAUCUUAUGCCGCCUUUGAGUGGAGUUUGCGCGAGCAAGGUAGCAGGUGCUCCUUUGGCAGGUGAGGCUGCUUAGGAGCUCGAGGCCAAUACUAGAGGGGCCCUUCCUGUUGUGCAGGUUACCGAUUGGCUAGCGAUUCCUACCGCGCUUACAUACUGGUGGCUGACUAGGACAACCUAUCAGAUUUCGAUUGUGCCAGCAGAGGCAGGGCACGAGUGUGUCAGAGCUCGAGGCACACCUCAGGCACCCACAGAGUACACAGAGGGCCUCCUUGAGCUGGUUGCUUCUCUUAUUGACAUGAUGUAGAGGAGAGAGGCACUGUUUGGUAUCCACAGUAUUCAGAUCCCAUCUAUACUGAGGGCACCAGCAACAAUGGCAGCACCAGUAGCACAUCUCCCAGCAGUAGGGAGGAGAGGUAGAUAGGCCUGAGCACGUGGCCGAGAUGAGUGCUAAGGUCGAAGCAGAGACAGGGGUGCUCGAGGUCGGAGCAGCUUCUUAGAGCUAGUUUUGAGUGAUGAUGAUACCGGGACUAGUGACUCCGAGGAGGCUGUCAGCCAAUAUUCUAAGUCUGAGAGCGGGAGCGAUGGUGUUGGCUCGGGAUUAGAGAGCAGAGACGAUGCUGAGGCUAGCUCUAAGGUGGGGAGCAAAGAUGAUGAUACUGGUUCUGGCUCGGAGUCCGGUUCUAAUAGUGGUGCUGACGGAGACAGUGCCCUUGAGUCCCCUCUGAAGAAGGGGACGGAGAGGGCGUUUCGAGGUUGAGAUGACUAGCACUGAUCUUUUUACUUUUUGCUUUGUUUCUUUUAUUUUUGGUAGUUUAACACAUGUAUAGCUUUAGCUAGGCUUUACUUUCGCUUUUGAAAACUUGUGCUUUCUUUUGUAAAAACUACGAUCGGGGGAAAACCCCGCAGUUUUAUGAAAAGAGCUAUGGUUUAUGCAUCA